AUGGACAGCCAAAUUGUUAUGUAUUGAAGAAUAAAGAUUUAGAACACGCUUUUAAAGGAGUUAUUUACUUAGAGAUGGACCUCAUAUAUAAUCCGGUCAAGGCAUGUAUUAGGACCUUUACUCCCAGAGAAAAGCGCUUUGUUGAAGACAGCCGCAAGCUGUCCAAAAAGAUCUUAUCAAGAGAUGUAGAGCGCGUGAAAAGAAUCACUAUGGCAAUCUGGAAUACAAUACAGUUCCUUAAAAGCUGCUUCCAGUGGGAAUCCACAUGGAGAAGUACAGUAG